rnacentral:rRNA from 1 species
UACGAAGGGGGCUAGCGUUGCUCGGAAUCACUGGGCGUAAAGCGCACGUAGGCGGCUUUUUAAGUCAGGGGUGAAAUCCUGGAGCUCAACUCCAGAACUGCCUUUGAUACUGAGGAGCUUGAGUUCGGGAGAGGUGAGUGGAACUGCGAGUGUAGAGGUGAAAUUCGUAGAUAUUCGCAAGAACACCAGUGGCGAAGGCGGCUCACUGGCCCGAUACUGACGCUGAGGUGCGAAAGCGUGGGGAGCAAACAGG